ACAUACUAAGAACUUUCCAGAGAUGGAUUGGUGCCUUCGGGAACUUAGAUACAGGUGCUGCAUGGCUGUCGUCAGCUCGUGUCGUGAGAUGUUGGGUUAAGUCCGCAACGAGCGCAACCCUUUUCCUUAUUUGCCAGCGGGUAAUGCCGGGAACUUUAAGGAUACUGCCAGUGACAAACUGGAGGAAGGCGGGGACGACGUCAAGUCAUCAUGGCCCUUACGGCCAGGGCUACACACGUGCUACAAUGGUCGGUACAAAGGGUUGCUACCUCGCGAGAGGAUGCUAAUCUCAAAAAGCCGAUCGUAGUCCGGAUCGCAGUCUGCAACUCGACUGCGUGAAGUCGGAAUCGCUAGUAAUCGCGGAUCAGAAUGCCGCGGUGAAUACGUUCCCGGGCCUUGUACACACCGCCCGUCACACCAUGGGAGUUUGUUGCACCAGAAGUAGGUAGUCUAACCGCAAGGAGGACGCUUACCACGGUGUGGCCGAUGACUGGGGUGAAGUCGUAACAAGGUAAGCGUAGAUGA
rnacentral:rRNA from 1 species